rnacentral:rRNA from 1 species
AACGAACGCUGGCGGCAGGCUUAACACAUGCAAGUCGAACGCAUCGCAAGAUGAGUGGCAGACGGGUGAGUAACGCGUGGGAACAUACCCUUUUCUACGGAAUAGCUCUGGGAGACUGGAAUUAAUACCGUAUACGCCCUACGGGGGAAAGAUUUAUCGGGGAAGGAUUGGCCCGCGUUGGCUUAGCUAGUUGGUGGGGUAAAGGCCUACCAAGGCGACGAUCCAUAGCUGGUCUGAGAGGAUGAUCAGCCACAUAGGGACUGAGACACGGCCCAAACUCCUACGGGAGGCAGCAGUGGGGAAUAUUGGACAAUGGGCGCAAGCCUGAUCCAGCCAUGCCGCGUGAGUGAUGAAGGCCUUAGGGUUGUAAAGCUCUUUCACCGAUGAAGAUAAUGACGGUAGUCGGAGAAGAAGCCCCGGCUAACUUCGUGCCAGCAGCCGCCGUAACAC